rnacentral:rRNA from 1 species
UACGAAGGGGACUAGCGUUGUUCGGAAUUAUUGGGCGUAAAGGGCGCGUAGGCGGCCUGGCAAGUGGAUGGUGAAAUCCCUCGGCUUAACCGAGGAACUGCCAUCCAGACUGCUUGGCUUGAGACCGGGAGAGGUGAGUGGAAUUCCCAGUGUAGCGGUGAAAUGCGUAGAUAUUGGGAGGAACACCAGUGGCGAAGGCGGCUCACUGGACCGGAACUGACGCUGAGGCGCGAAAGCGUGGGGAGCAAACAGG